rnacentral:rRNA from 1 species
UACAGAGGGUGCGAGCGUUAAUCGGAAUUACUGGGCGUAAAGGGUGCGCAGGCGGUUCUGCAAGUCAGGCGUGAAAUCCCCGGGCUUAACCUGGGAAUGGCGCUUGAAACUACGGGACUGGAGUAUGGCAGAGGGAGGUGGAAUUCCACGUGUAGCGGUGAAAUGCGUAGAGAUGUGGAGGAACACCGAUGGCGAAGGCAGCCUCCUGGGCCAAUACUGACGCUCAUGCACGAAAGCGUGGGGAGCAAACAGG